rnacentral:lncRNA from 1 species
UCAAUAUCUUAUGACUGCCCAACUUGUUAUGACUAAUCUGUUAUCUGUCCCAUCUGUGAGCAUUUUAUUUGACGGAUCCAGUUUGCAAUGUUGAAGGAUGCCAUUUGCUAAACGAACAUUCAUCUACUUUUGGUAAGUCAAAUUGAUUUUGAACAUCGCAAACGAGAUACAUGGUCUUGGUAGUUUUACAGUCAAUACUUAUCAUGCACUCUUCCUACAAUGGAGCAGAUGCUGCUGGUAUUUUUCAAGGGCAUUCUCCUACUUGCCUUCAAAUUACAGCCAAAACUGGAUGCAUUUAAAUCAAAAUAGGAUUUAUUUAGGAUUUUAUUUCUAAUUCCAGGCGCAACCGAUCUGCAGGAAGCAUAUAAAAACAUCAAUAUCUUAUGACUGCCCAACUUGUUAUGACUAAUCUGUUAUCUGUCCCAUCUGUGAGCAUUUUAUUUGACGGAUCCAGUUUGCAAUGUUGAAGGAUGCCAUUUGCUAAACGAACAUUCAUCUAUUUUUGAUUACUGAGGUUUUGCAUUCAAAAGCUCCCUUCUUCCAUUUGACUGAGCAUUGCUGCAAUGCCAUAAAGACUUACGCUGUGAGUUAAUUUUACAGGUUUCGCCAGAGGGAAACAUAUGAAAACAGGUUUACUGAUCGUCAAGUUCAUUCUGGCUUCAAGAAAUGUGCCUUGAUCUUGUUCAUAUUUUCGUUUACCCUUCAUCAAUUCUUCAAUUCUCUAUUUUAUUCCUCAGUGCAAGAUGUGCCUGUGAUUACUUUCAUCCUGGAAUAGCUUUAAUAAAAAAAAUGACUUGUGGCUCGCUUUAUUGUUUUUAACAUGGAUUUCCAAUUCCAAUCUCCUCUGUCAAUUUUUGAGAAUAGAAUAGAAUAGAAAUCACUUUAUUCGUUAAAAAUGCGCAAAAAGGCAAACAAACGGGUCAACUUAGAUUAAACUUGAAACUAACAUUCAAAAUUAGAUAAAUGCAUAAUAGUUGAAUUGGACAAUUCUCAAGUGAAUUAGAUUGAAUAGGUAAACUUCUACACCAGUUCUCUAACUGCGUAGAAUUCUUUCUCCACUAGGAAUUCAGUUAUCAAUUUUGAGAAUUUUUGCAAUUCUGUGUUAACAUCAAUUUUUAAAUCCUUUAAAGGAAGUGCAUUGUAACACGGUAAACAUUGCUUACAUACUCGUUUUCUCUUGGUGUUAUGAACUUAUUUAAUUUCUUGUGUUAAAAUUGUGCUGAUCUGAUAAUUUUGUAUCUGAUAUUCCUUUAAUAUAAAAAAUGUAAUAUAAAUUGUUUUAUUCUCCAGUUUAUUUUAGUUUUUAGUACCACUCUCUGAAUUAUACUUGCAUUUUCUAUGCCAGAAACGCUCAUUUCAGACGCCAACAUUAGAUGGAAAAAAACAUGCUCAAUUGCUACUAGCAAAUACUAAUUCCUCUAAUGCUACAAUUAAACCAAAUGAACAUGGCCAA